GGAAAACAUUCCAUUUCAACGGCUUUCCCUCCCCAUGUGCUACAUACUAAAUCAGUGCUACGGUUUACUUCCACUUGGAGAAAAUGAAGAUAGCAGAGAAGGAAAGGAAAGUAAAAGUCAUGUAAAAGUGGGUCUGGAGUAAACAACAGAAGAACUGAGCUAUUUCUGAAAGAACAUGACCACCUUCAAAACAGAUUUCAAAAUACAACAUCCAUGAGUCCGCAGGAGACCUGCUCACAGAUGGCAUCUGUAAUUUACAGGAAGAUGAUGCUGACACUGGCUUAACCAUGCACUUAGCACACCACAGUUACAGUGAAAAUCCAAUUUUCUGCCAAAAGUGGGAAAUAAAUGAAGCCGUAAGUGU